rnacentral:rRNA from 1 species
CCAAGAAAAGCGUCUAGAGAGAGAAGUAGUGCCCGUACCGCAAACCGACACAGGUAGGUGAGGAGAGAAUCCUAAGGCCGGCGGAAGAAUUACAGUUAAGGAACUCGGCAAAUUGACCCCGUAAGUUCGCGAGAAGGGGUGCCUACGAGAGUAGGCCGCAGAGAAUAGGCCCAAGCAACUGUUUAGCAAAAACACAGGUCUCUGCUAAAGCGUAAGCUGAUGUAUAGGGGCUGACGCCUGCCCGGUGCUGGAAGGUUAAGGGGAACACUUAGCGCAAGCGAAGGUGUGAACUUAAGCCCCAGUAAACGGCGGCCGUAACUAUAACGGUCCUAAGGUAGCGAAAUUCCUUGUCAGGUAAGUUCUGACCCGCACGAAUGGCGUAAUGACUUGGGCACUGUCUCAACUGUAAAUCCGGCGAAGUUGUAGUGCGAGUGAAGAUGCUCGCUACCCGCGAUUGGACGGAAAGACCCCGUAGAGCUUUACUGUAGCUUAGCAUUGAGUUUUGGUAUUGUCUGUACAG